CCUACGGGAGGCAGCAGUGGGGAAUAUUGGGCAAUGGGCGCAAGCCUGACCCAGCAACGCCGCGUGGGCGAAGAAGUAUUUCGGUAUGUAAAGCCCUAUCAGCAGGGAAGAAGAAAUGACGGUACCUGAGUAAGAAGCACCGGCUAAAUACGUGCCAGCAGCCGCGGUAAUACGUAUGGUGCAAGCGUUAUCCGGAUUUACGGGGUGUAAAGGGAGCGCAGGCGGCACGGCAAGCCUGAUGUGAAAGCCCGCGGCCCAACCGCGGGACUGCAUUUGGAACUACCGGGAUGGAGUGCCGGAGAGGUAGGCGGAAUUCCUAGUGUAGCGGUGAGAUGCGUAGAUAUUAGGAGGAACACCAGUGGCGAAGGCGGCCUACUGGACGGUGACUGACGCUGAGGCUCGAAAGCGUGGGGAGCAAACAGGAUUAGAUACCCCGGUAGUC
rnacentral:rRNA from 1 species